CAAAUGCGCGUAACAAUUAUUUUAAUUUAUUUCAAAUUAAUAAAAUUUAUAAAUCAUAUUUAUCAACUAAUUUAGAAUAAAAUUUGUAUUUUAAAAUUUAAUUUUGAUCUAUUAUAUAAUUAAAAAUUAUUAAUUAUUAAUUUAAAUUUGAUAUCGAAAAUUAAAAAUUAAAUCUAAAUCAUAAUUUAAACUCAAAUUUAAAUUUUAAUGUAAAAUAGAUAGAUCAAAGUACUAUAUUUUAAUAGAUUGAUUAACUCUUCGUUUUUAAUUGAUCACAACCGUUCAUAGGAUUGAGUUUAUAGAUACUAAGAAUGCUAUCUUUUAACAAAUUGAUCAUCACUGUUUAUUUUUAAUUAAUACAAAAACACUAUUUUUUAACAAAUUGAUCAUAAUCAUUUGUUCUUUUUUAAUAUUUUUUUUAAUAAACUGAUCAUAUCCGUUUA
rnacentral:lncRNA from 1 species